rnacentral:rRNA from 1 species
GACGAACGCUGGCGGCGUGCUUAACACAUGCAAGUCGAACGGAAAGGCCCUGCUUUUGUGGGGUGCUCGAGUGGCGAACGGGUGAGUAACACGUGAGUAGCCUGCCCUUGACUUUGGGAUAACUUCAGGAAACUGGGGCUAAUACCGGAUAGGAGCUCCUGCUGCAAGGUGGGGGUUGGAAAGUUUCGGCGGUUGGGGAUGGACUCGCGGCUUAUCAGCUUGUUGGUGGGGUAGUGGCUUACCAAGGCUUUGACGGGUAGCCGGCCUGAGAGGGUGACCGGCCACAUUGGGACUGAGAUACGGCCCAGACUCCUACGGGAGGCAGCAGUGGGGAAUAUUGCACAAUGGGCGGAAGCCUGAUGCAGCAACGCCGCGUGCGGGAUGACGGCCUUCGGGUUGUAAACCGCUUUCGCCUGUGACGAAGCGUGAGUGACGGUAAUGGGUAAAGAAGCACCGGCUAACUACGUG